CAGCCCCCUGGCGCCGCCGUUUCCGAUUGGUCCGGGGGCGGGGACGCGAGACGGCGCUUGCGCAGGAGCUCUGCUGCGGGAGGGCGUCCUCUCGAUUCCGGGAGUGGUAGAAGGGGAAGGGAAAGGUUGGUCCGUCUAGGCGCCUGCGCAGUGCGGGAGGAAGGUGUCAGGGCUGCGAAGAAAAGUGGCAGAGGUUUCGGGAGAGCCUGAGUCCUCUGUUCUCUGGCACGUUCCACCUUCUUGACCCUGUUGCAGCCCUACGUGCUUGGAGAAGAUUUUUCGUGCGUAUAUAAAUUGAACUGCUCUGUUGCAAGAGAGAAUAGAGUGGAUUUAGAUUCCAAAGACCUCCAGGGGCCAUUCAGGAAGUUGGGAACCAUGGCUAGACGCAUGGCUAGACGUCUCAGUCUCCUGUCCAUCCCUUCCUGCCCUCCACCUGGGAAGCUCUACCCUUCGAGACCAGGCUGUGCUUGACAGGGGGUUUGAGGAGAGAGUGAAUAAA